ACGAACGCUGGCGGCGUGCUUAACACAUGCAAGUCGAACGGAAAGGCCCUGCUUGCAGGGUACUCGAGUGGCGAACGGGUGAGUAACACGUGGGUGAGCUGCCCUGCACUUCGGGAUAAGCCUGGGAAACUGGGUCUAAUACCGGAUAGGAGCCAUUUUUAGUGUGAUGGUUGGAAAGUUUUUUCGGUGUAGGAUGAGCUCGCGGCCUAUCAGCUUGUUGGUGGGGUAAUGGCCUACCAAGGCGGCGACGGGUAGCCGGCCUGAGAGGGUGGACGGCCACAUUGGGACUGAGAUACGGCCCAGACUCCUACGGGAGGCAGCAGUGGGGAAUAUUGCACAAUGGGCGCAAGCCUGAUGCAGCGACGCCGCGUGGGGGAUGACGGCCUUCGGGUUGUAAACUCCUUUCGCUAGGGACGAAGCUUUUUGUGACGGUACCUAGAUAAGAAGCACCGGCUAACUACGUG
rnacentral:rRNA from 1 species